UCGGCAUGGUUUUAUCUGUCUACUUUGCUUUUUCAAUUUGGUUGCCAGCUUCAACCCAAUUCUUGAUUUAGAACUAUGAUUUUGAACUAAAACAUUUCCGUGUUGAAUAAAAUACUAUUUAUUCUUAACUGUAUUUUUUUUGAGGCUUCAGUUAUCAAAUGUUGGUGGUAAUUUUAGUUAUGCCACUGUGAAAGCGUCGAUUGUUAAGAAGACAUAAAAAGUUUGAAGUAUGCACAAAGCCUGAAAGUGUCAAAUAUGGAACCUAAAAAAACCUGCCUUUGCCACUAACUGUAUAAAGGUUUUUUAAGGUCUGUUUGUCAAGCGUCAAGUCAGGUUAUCUUGCUACUGGUACCAUGUAGUACAUCCUGCUUAAGCAGGUUGUACGCCAUCCAUACGACGUUUGGGCAUCUGUUUGUAAAAUAUUGCUGCAAAUCUUUUUGAGAGAGCCAUUACUAUGGAGAACCAUCUAAACCAUACAAGUGUGGAAACAUGGAUCAGAACAUACCUGGCCUGCAUUUGAUCCUGAA
rnacentral:lncRNA from 1 species